GACGAACCGUGCAAACGUUAUUCGGAAUCACUGGGCUUAAAGGGCGCGUAGGUGGUUGAUCAAGUCUGGUGUGAAAUCUUUCGGCUUAACCGGAAAAGUGCCUUGGAAACUGAUCAGCUUGAGGGAGGUAGGGGCAGGUGGAACUUCCAGUGGAGCGGUGAAAUGCGUUGAUAUUGGAAGGAACGCCGGUGGCGAAAGCGAACUGCUGGACCUCUUCUGACACUGAGGCGCGAAAGCUAGGGGAGCAAACGGG
rnacentral:rRNA from 1 species